rnacentral:tRNA from 1 species
GCGUUCGUUGUGUAAUGGUCAGCACACUCGGCUCAUAUUUCAUGAACUCCGAGGUUCGAGUCCCGGCGAGGGCA